AUUCCCCUAGUAGCGGCGAGCGAAGCGGGAAGAGCUCAAAUUUAUAAUCUGGCACCUUCGGUGUCCGAGUUGUAAUCUCUAGAAGUGUUUUCCGUGUUGGACCGCACACAAGUCUGUUGGAAUACAGCGGCAUAGUGGUGAGACCCCCGUAUAUGGUGCGGACGCCCAACGCUUUGUGAUACACUUUCGAAGAGUCGAGUUGUUUGGGAAUGCAGCUCAAAUUGGGUGGUAAAUUCCAUCUAAAGCUAAAUAUUGGCGAGAGACCGAUAGCGAACAAGUACCGUGAGGGAAAGAUGAAAAGCACUUUGGAAAGAGAGUUAACAGUACGUGAAAUUGUUGGAAGGGAAACGCUUGAAGUCAGACUUGCUUGCCGAGCAAUCGGUUUGCAGGCCAGCAUCAGUUUUCCGGGGUGGAUAAUGGUAGAGAGAAGGUAGCAGUUUCGGCUGUGUUAUAGCUCUUUGCUGGAUACACCUUGGGGGACUGAGGAACGCAGUGUGCCUUACGGCGGAUUUCUCGAGAUCUUCACACUUAGGAUGCUGGUGGAAUGGCUUUAAACGACC
rnacentral:rRNA from 1 species